CACAGUAGUUUCGACAUGUGCGCAGCUGUGUGCGCUUCUCGGUGAAAUGGCAGCCUCCCGUCGCCAAGUUUUGAGGCUUUACAAGGAGUUGAUGCGUGAAUGUGGACAGUUCAAGAGCUACAUUUAUAGGUCUUAUGCAUUGAGACGUGUGAGAGAUGCCUUCAAGGAGCACAAGGCAGUGCAAGAUAAAGACGAAAUCAAUGAGCUUCUGGAUGAUGGAUUGAAAAACUUGGAAAUAAUCAAGCGGCAGGUGGUCAUCGGCAAGCUCUACAGGACUUCAGACUUGGUCAUAGAAAAGCAGUUUACAGCACAGCAGUGAUGACUCUGUAGAGCCACUCUUUUGUAUAAUUUUUGUAUAUUGUGUACUGUUCCUUCAUCCUGGCAACAACCCAUCCUGGUUUUUUCAACCAGAGGGUGUCAUUGCGAUCUGGACGACAGGGCCUUGAGGUUGCUGCUUCCCUGCGUACAAAAAAAUAUUUGGGCAACUUUUAGAGAUGGCAUAGGUUAUAGUAAAAGUUUGAAUAAAUAGUAGGACUUUGGACUAGGCUGUUGAGUUUAUAUUAUCUGUGGUAGCUAUGUAAAUAUGCUGGAACAGAGUUGCUGGUUCCGAAUGUCCUGAGUGUAGUUCAUACUAACUGCGGGUCCUGCAGACAUUCAUGAAGUGAAAGAAAAAAUAGAGUAUUUAUGAC